GGAGGUCCUACCUGCCCAGUGACAGUAAGUUUAACGGCCGCGGUAUUCUGACCGUGCUAAGGUAGCGCAAUCACUUGUCUUUUAAAUGAGGACCUGUAUGAAUGGUGGAACGAGGGCUUGACUGUCUCCCCUUUCUAGCCAGUGAAAUUGAUCUACCCGUGCAGAAGCGGGUAUAAAACUACAAGACGAGAAGACCCUUUGGAGCUUAAGACAUAAGGUCAAUUAAGUUAAGAUAAUUACCCACAAGAAAUAAACAAAAUUAAUAUCUGACCCCUGUCUUCGGUUGGGGCGACCACGGGGGAAAACAAAGCCCCCAUGAAGAUUGGGAAUAUCCUAAAACCAAGAAAGACAUCUCUAAGCCACAGAACAUCUGACUACAAGAUCCGGCACUCUCUGCCGAUCAACGAACCAAGUUACCCUAGGGAUAACAGCGCAAUCCCCUUCAAGAGUCCAUAUCGACAAGGGGGUUUACGACCUCGAUGUUGGAUCAGGACAUCCUAAUGGUGCAGCCGCUAUUAAGGG
rnacentral:rRNA from 1 species